AUGUCCUGCUUCAAGCUACCUCGUGGUCUAUGUGAACAUAUAAAUGCUUUCAUUAGAAAGUUUUGGUGGCAAAGUAAGUAGGGAGAAAUGAAGACUAGUUUGGUUUCUUGGGAGGUGAUAACGAGGCCAAAGUAUAUAGGAGGCCUCGGUUUUAGAGAUAUAGAGUUGUUUAAUCUUGCUAUGUUGGCUCGUCCGAGGUGGCAUAUCUUAUUAGAUCAAAAAACCCUAGGUGUCAGAAUUCUCAAAACUUGUUAUUUUUCCAAUGUGAUUUUUUUGAAUGCGUGGUUGGGAGGAGCCCCCUUUCAAAUUUAGCGCGCUAUUUUGGAGGUAAGGGACAGCAUACAGGGCCUCACUAGGCCCAUCAAAGACGGCAAUCGAACUCAUAUUUGGACAUAAAAUGGCUUCCAUGGCAAUUCAGCAUGCGAUCGCUAA
rnacentral:rRNA from 1 species